rnacentral:rRNA from 1 species
UACGUAGGGGGCAAGCGUUGUCCGGAUUUAUUGGGCGUAAAGAGCGUGUAGGCGGUCAGGUAGGUCCGUUGUGAAAACUCGAGGCUCAACCUCGAGACGCCGAUGGAAACCAUCUGACUAGAGUCCGGAAGAGGAGAGUGGAAUUCCUGGUGUAGCGGUGAAAUGCGCAGAUAUCAGGAAGAACACCCGUGGCUAAGGCGGCUCUCUGUACGGUACUGGACGCUGAGGAGCGAAAGCGUGGGGAGCGAACAGG